GACGAACCGUGCGAACGUUGUUCGGAAUCACUGGGCUUAAAGGGUGCGUAGGCGGUCUAUCCAGUCGGGGGUGAAAUCUUGCAGCUUAACUGUAAAAGUGCCUUCGAUACUGAUAGACUCGAGCGAGAUAGGGGCAGGUGGAACUUCCAGUGGAGCGGUGAAAUGUGUUGAUAUUGGAAGGAACGCCGGUGGCGAAAGCGACCUGCUGGAUCUCUUCUGACGCUGAGGCACGAAAGCUAGGGGAGCAAACGGG
rnacentral:misc_RNA from 1 species